CAGAUGGAUCCAAGAAUACCUGUUGUCCAAGAUCCAAGUGAUAUUCCUGGUAUCAGCAUCCCUAGGGAGAAGGACAUCCAAGGUCAGGAAGACAAGCAUGACUUUCCAGAAACAACAGGAGCUCCUUGGACUACAGAGUCUAAAGGCAAAAUUGGACCCAAGGAUUAUCAAGGCCUCACAGUAAGUGUACUAGGUUG